GACGAACGCUGGCGGCGUGCCUAAUACAUGCAAGUAGAACGCUGAGGAGAGGAGCUUGCUCUUCUUGGAUGAGUUGCGAACGGGUGAGUAACGCGUAGGUAACCUGCCUUGUAGCGGGGGAUAACUAUUGGAAACGAUAGCUAAUACCGCAUAACAAUGGAUGACACAUGUCUUUUAUUUGAAAGGGGCAAUUGCUCCACUACAAGAUGGACCUGCGUUGUAUUAGCUAGUAGGUGAGGUAACGGCUCACCUAGGCGACGAAACAUAGCCGACCUGAGAGGGGGAUCGGCCACACUGGGAAUGAGACACGGCCCAGAACCCUUAGGGAGGCAGGAGUAGGGGAUCUUCGGGAAUGGGGGCAAACCUGAACGAGCAACGGCGCGUGAGUGAAGAAGGUUUUCGGAUCGUAAAGAUCUGUUGAAAGUCAAGAACGAGUGGGAGAGUGGAAAGUGCACACUGUGACGGUAGCUAACCAGAAAGGGACGGCUAACUACGUG
rnacentral:rRNA from 1 species